rnacentral:lncRNA from 1 species
AAUAGUGUAUACAUAUGGAGAAAAACAAACAAAAAUGUUAUGCUUCAACCACAGCUCGUUCUACCAAAAGUAGUUGUCCAGAUGAAUCUCCUCCAUAUCGUAUCCGUACAACAGGGGUGCACAACAUCUCUAGGUAAAAGUUAAAGAACCAGACCAAAUCACUACGACUACGAGGAUACAUAUUUUCCAGCCAUUUAGUAUUUUGCAUCCUAUUCUAAACAAAGAAAAUCACAUUCUAGCUAGUAGAAAAAAGUAUUUUAUAAUGACACUAGAUCCAAGUUGAUUUCCUAACUGCUAGAAGUUCUUCAUCCUGAAACAAAAUAAGUGACCUGCUAGCUGGUAUUGUUCUUCAGUACAAAAUAAAAAACACUUUCCCAUUGUUUACUAACAAGCUCGGUACCAGUAGGGGCAGUGUAGCCCAAGUAGAUAAAAACGAUGAAGCCCCGGCUCUUAAACUGGACAAAUAUUCCUUUAGGAAACAUUAACCGAACAAUUACUUGAGAUUAUACACGAAUCCUUAAUAACGAAAUGACACACAUAGUAUUUGAGAUUAUACAUGAGUUGGUCAUAAUGAAUUGAAAUGACAGGUAAUAUAAUAUAAAUCACGCAUAUUUAUACUCUUCAAUGGUUUUCUCUUUAAUUUUAGCUGUAAACAUAAUAUCCUCACAUUGGGGGUUGUUGCAUAGGAAAAGAGAUCGAUUAGAACGGAAGCAAGUAUAUGAUAAAAGUUUAUAAGCUAGCUAAAUGUUGAGGUAGAUGAGAGAGAUAAUAAAUGAACUGUAAGCUUACAGCUGCCUUAGCUACAAGAACUAAGAAACUCUAUGAGAGAGAUAAGUAGGAUCCUACAUUAAUAAUGAAACUAACACUGCAUAGACAGAGGUGCGUGCAUGUAUCAUGUGACGCUAGAAGGGCUGCCUCUCAGCUAACUGGGCCAAUACGAUAGCAUGACAAUCUAGCAGCAGCAGAGCUAGCUUUAGCUUGGCACCAGAGCUGCACCUGCACCUCUCACAGUACAGAUACUAAUAGUAUGCAAUGCCCAAGAGAGAUUUGUAGCAGUCAAAGAAUCUUGUUUAGCAGGCUGUUGGUCUUUCUCAAGCUCGUGAUUCGUGAAUACGGUUGGGCUUUAGUUAAUAUGUUGCAUGCAUGCAGUAUAGCUAUAGCACUAGCAUGCAUGUAUUUAUUGAAUCUAAUUAAUUAGCUUCACUUCUUCUCUACUAGCAUGCACGUAAUGAAUCUAAUUAGGUUCGCCUUCUUCUUCUCCUCACAAAAACAAGACACACAUACUAAGGUAAAGCUAAACUUACAACUGCUUAGAAAUAAAGCACGUUCCAUAAGAAUAGAUCAAGGGAAGGUAUAUAUGGAUCGAAGCUAGAAGAUGCAGAUAUAUAUAUAUAUAUUUCAUGUUGUUCAUCUGAUCUAACACUAUGUGAUCAGCUUAUCUCUCUAGAAGACAGCUGGGACAGUUAUGGCCAUAUAUAUUCGGAUCAUAGACCAAUCAUGCAACACAUUGCGUCAAACUGAUCUCUGAACGAGGUUCCUCAGCUAUAGAAAAAGCUCAAAGAAGAAAUCCACAUAACUAACAAAAUAUUACAUGAAUCAAACUCUGAAUCAAAGAGUGAUGGAAACAAAUCAAUCAAGACGAACGAAUCUUGCUCUGUCUGCAUAAACCAUAUAUAGAGACAGAAUAAGAACAUGCAGGGAUAACAUACAUACUCUUGCACAAGUACGUAGAUCCUAGCUAGGAAAGAAGGAUUUCGGACCAAGACGCUUGAUUCCCCAAAGCCAUGGCGGGCGCAGUGUUACAAAGAAGCUGAAGAGGAGCUGGAAGGAGGAGGGAGAACUGCACCGAUCUGAUGAUGGCUUCUUGACUCGAAUGACAGAAGUAGUACUGGAUCGAAUAGAUCAACCACGCCAUCAUCAUGCCAUGCACCAUGCAUCUCUGUCUCUCUCUCUCUCUCUCUCUCUCUCUCUAGCUUUUUCUGCCACCUCCCCUUCUCUCUCCUCCUCCUCCGGCCCCUCGUACACCGGCCGCCGCCCCUCCGCUUAAUUUCCUCAUGGACUAUAGCUUCUCCGGCCUCUUCCUCUUGGAAGUAGGUGGAGGAGACUCCUGAGAGGCGGUGAGGCAAUCAUGGUGACCGAGGGGCCCGAGGAGUCUGGGGCAGCAUGAUUGCAUCUUGGAAGUAGGGGGAUGAGAGGCAGAAGAGGCUCCUCGCAUCACAUGGUGUGGUAUGAUGGAGGCACAUCUCACUAUCUUGGUUUAUUGGGCUCGCGCGACCUGCUUGCUGGUCUUCUUUCUAGGGGUCUCCUCUCCGGCUUUCCGACGGCAGUGCAUUAUGGUGGACUUUGGCCAAUCUCCGAAUUGAAGCUAGCUAGGGCAUUUCCAUUUC